AACAAACAUUAAAGGCAACGCCUGCCCAGUGAAUAAUUAAACGGCCGCGGUACCCUAACCGUGCAAAGGUAGCAUAAUCACUUGUCUAUUAACUGUAGACCUGUAUGAAAGGCAAAAUGAGGGUUAAGCUGUCUCUUAUAAUAAAUCUAUUAAACUGAUCCCCUAGUAAAAAAGCUAGAAUAAAAACAUAAGACCAGAAGACCCUGUGAAGCUUAAACCAAACUAUUAAACCAAAUAAUAACUACUUUCGGUUGGGGCGACCUUGGAAAUAAAAAGAACUUCCAACACAAUGCUUACACAAAUACUCCAGGCCAACAAGCCAAAGAAUGACCCAGCAAAGCUGAUAAUUGAACAAAGUUACUCCAGGGAUAACAGCGCUAUCUUCUUCAAGAGCCCAUAUCAAAAAGAAGGUUUACGACCUCGAUGUUGGAUCAGGACAUCCUAAUGGUGCAACCGCUAUUAAAGGUUCGUUUGUUCAACGAUUAAUGUCCUACGUGAU
rnacentral:rRNA from 1 species